rnacentral:rRNA from 1 species
GACGAACGCUGGCGGCGUGCCUAAUACAUGCAAGUCGAACGCACAGUUUAUACCGUCGCUUGCUUCACCAUAGACUGUGAGUUGCGAACGGGUGAGUAACGCGUAGGUAACCUGCCUGGUAGCGGGGGAUAACUAUUGGAAACGAUAGCUAAUACCGCAUAAUCUUAAUUAUUGCAUGAUAAUUAAUUGAAUGUUUCUAUUUCACCACUACCAGAUGGCCCUGCGUUGUAUUAGCUAGUAGGUGAGGUAACGGGUCACCUAGGCGAAGAUACAUAUGCGAACUGGGAAGGGGAGUGGGCAAAAUGGGACUGGGAAACGGACCAGACUUCUAAGGGGAGCAGCAGGAGGGAAGACUCAGAAAGGGAAGGAAGGCGGACCGAGCAACGGCGGGGGAGUGAAGAAGGGUCUCGGAUCGGAAAGCUCUGUUGUAAGAGAAGAACGAGUGUGAGAGUGGAAAGUUCACACUGUGACGGUAUCUUAACAGAAAGGGACGGCUAACUACGUG